UAUAAACCUCAGGGGGGUAUCUGUAAUUUCUGAAACCUCAGGGGGUAUCUAUAAUUUAGAUAAAUCUCGAGGGAGGUAUAUGUAAUUUUCCCUAAUUUUUUUGAUGAACUAUGGGAAAAUGCUAUAUCACAUGGACUCAGGUACAAGUGUCGGGCUUGUGCCUAAGCAUUAGACCACCCUAACUCUAAAUAUUAGGAUAUAGGGAUAUGUAUCCAAAUUCUAUGUUACAUGAACAUGUCUUGAACAUUUAAAUAUAUUACAUAUUGUAUAAUAUUUUGACUUAAUAUGAUAUUAAUUAUUUAGAAAUGUAUUUGAAAUCAAAUAGGAAUUGGGAUUCAGGGGAAAAAGGGGAUUUCUAUCUCCUAUCCACAUGAGUGGCUAUAAAUUUAUCUUUACUAUCAAAUGUUAGAUUUGUUCAACAAAGAUUGGAUUCUACUCUCAUCUAUUCAUUUUAGGCCCUGAUUCUUGAAAUCAAGUGAUUAUUAAGUUCCAUGUCUGAGAUGUACGCCUUAUAAUGGACCGCAAUUCAAGUCAUUCCAAGAGAGUUGGGUAAGUUCAAUUUUUCUUUCCAUAGCCAAAAAAUUAUCUCAAUUUAAUUUUUUAUUAUGCUAUAACUAUUUUAAUUCUAUCAUUAGUGGAGGUUUGUCAUCUCGUAAUGAGGUCAAAGAUAGAAGUCUACACUUCUUUUAACAACUAAGGCUGUUAUCAACAAGUGAAGAUGACAGAGCAAAAGGCACACUAAUCAUAUUGAAAAAGUCUACAUGCUAAAUUGACAAGUAAUUAUGGGCUAACAAAAUUGCAGUAAGGCCAAGUCCAAUGCUUUGUAAGAUAGAUGAUGACCCCCUGCCCUUCUCUUUCACCCUCCUCCCCCACACAAUGUAAACUCGCCAAGUUUUUUUUUUUUGGUUUUGGGGAUGGGCUUCAUGAAAUUGCAUUGGUUAAAAUUUGGUUUCGGUAAUGGAGAAAUGUUUUAAACAUUGCGUAGCUAUUAAUGGAUUUGUAUUAUUCUAGUGAUUUUAAAAUAUUAAGGGUGAAUAUUGUGGAAAAAAACUGAAGGACAUUUUUUUUUUUGGUGAAGGAUGGUAUUUGCUUUGAUGUCUCAUAUUUCAUUUAUUAGUGGAAGUUGUUUACUUUCCCUAGUGCUUCCACGCAUUAAUAGAUAUUUGAUCAAUAACAAUUAGAGAGUGUUUGAUUGUACGAUUCGAGUUCAUUAAAUUGUAUACUGCUGGUAUAUUCUAUAAGUCAUAAUGGUCCAUUCCAUUUAUUGCUUGUUGUAUCCCCUGCAAGUUAGUGGGUUUGAUGGUGUGGUUAAUAAUAUAUUCCCCACCCACCUCCAAAAAAGGAAAAAAAUAUGUUUAGACUGGGCAGUAUCAUUUGUUAAUCUUAUUAUUGUAUUCACUUUCACAUCUAAUCAAUGUCCAUUUCCCUUCUUAGUACCAUCUAGAUGCUAAUGCAGCUUCUUUGCAGUUAUAUUGAAUUUUUUGAUGCAAUGCCAGUCCCUAUGGCAAUAGCACUCUCUAGCCAGCCUCUUCUUGGUUAGCCAGUAAUGGUUAAACCAUCAGAAGCUGAAAAAAAUCUGGUUCAGUCUACUACAGCCACAGCUGGGGCUGUAGGUGGGCUCAUAGGCCCCUAUUUGGGGGGAGCUAGAAGAGUAUGUUCCUUUCUAUUGAGGUGAAGAAACCACACUGGUUGUCUUACCCAUGUGCUGCCACUGUCCAUGUGACAUGAC